ensembl:lncRNA
CUCUUUACCAGCUGAUUGGCUUGGCGGCCUCCACACGCGCCGCACCACCUGCUCCCUCCUUUCUCAUCCUGUUUUGUGGUUCCCUUGUUCCGGAGGGCGUUGCCGAUUGACAUUCGUAUGCAGUUUUGUUAAAACAAAAAGGGGGAGAUGCCUGGGGCAACGCGCACCAGAAGACGACUAGGAGCAGCAACAAAGCACUCCCUCAGCGUGAGAAGCCCUGGGAAACUGUGCCCAACAGGAAGAUUUGAGUCAGCGCUAAGACGGGCAGGCGCCCGCGAGCCAUCCGAGUGCAGACAUUGAAACCAGGGCAAGGACGUGAGAGAGGGAAGACAAUCUCAAUGCAGAGCGUGGCUUGCAGCAACGCAGCAAAGCAACUUCAGUCUGCAAACACAGCUAUAUUCUCACAGAAUAAGGCAUACAGGAGAGGAUGAAAUAUGAAACAACAAUCCUGCUUCACUGCACGCAAGGUUUGUGCUUCAAGCAUUCUCACACAACAAGCCAUACAAGAGAGGUCGAAAUAUGAAACAAACAAUCCUGCUUCACUGCACACAAGGUUUGUCUUCAGUCCCCACAAGUGGUCCCGGGGUAUCUUUGGGUCAAACUCAUUUACUUCCCCUAUUUCCUCAUAACACCCGGGGUUGAUGUUCUCAUUAUGCCCUAACUCCUUUAACCAUUCUUCCACCUCAAGAAGGUACACCUUCAUUGUUUUCCCCAAAACAAGAAUUGCUAACUAACAAAAUAUAUGACUUCCGUGAGAAGCUUCGCAAACUACAUGUCUUGCUAUCUGCAGGAGUAUCCACUUGGAAAAAAAUAUUCAGCGAUAAGAAAUUCUGAGAAUGACACUCUUUGAUUUACUGUUAAUGAGGAAAGUCUACAACAGAGGAGAAUGGGUUUGUGCUGAUAUAGCCUUCCUGAAGAACACCUUUUGUGUUUGGAAUAGCUCGUCGUCUUUGAAAAUAUUCUUACUUUUUCAUCCUUGGAAAAUGCCAGGUAAGCUAUUACAAUGGGAAAACUCUUCUCUCUUCUGCUGUUAUUGUUGCGGUAAGACUUAAUAUUCUUACUUUCCAACAGAGAGUUAUCAGCUGUAGCAUGAUGUCCUGGAUGUCUAAAGCAACGGAACAAAAUUUUUACAUUCAGGAAGACUGAAGAAGCCAUAAGUUGUGUCACCUCCUUCACAUUGGGUAAGAUCAAUGAUGCUGCAUAAUGCCAGCCAAGCGAUUUCACUAAGUGACAGGUGACAACACUUGAAUAACAACGAAUUUCUUGGCAAAUACACAGUAAUGAAAUACGUGGCAAAAAUCUAGAUUGCUACCUUUGUAUGCAAUGUGAUUAGUUAGGUAUGUAUUGUGACUACUUUGUGUCAGGGCAGUGUGCCUAAGUGAUAAUUAGAAGAUUAAGUUGUGGCUCAAAUGACUUUGCUGAGUGAUGAGCUAUUAAGCUGAUUAAUAACAAAUAACGUGGCAUUAUUUGUAAUAUCAUAUGGUAAGAAACAUGAACAAAUUUGAUGCAACAUGUAAAACUGGGGAUUAUACACAUGACACAUAAAAAGAUCACUUGUCUUCUUCCCUACAUAAACUCUCUGAUAUGGUAAAAUAGAAUAUAUAUUAGUUCUAAAGCAUUACUAAAUCUUUUAUUUUCAAAUUAGCAAAGAGAAAAUAAAAAGAAGAAAGGAAAAGAAAAGACUAUUUCC